CCAGAGCUUGCUCCGGUGAAAGUGGCGCACGGGUGAGUAACGCGUGGAUAACCUGCCCUGGUGUCUGGGAUAACAUCUCGAAAGGGGUGCUAAUACCGGAUAAGCCCACGGGCUCCUCGGAGCUUGCGGGAAAAGGUGGCCUCUAUUUAUAAGCUACCGUAUCAGGAUGAGUCCGCGUACCAUUAGCUAGUUGGUGGGGUAAUGGCCCACCAAGGCUACGAUGGUUAGCUGGUCUGAGAGGAUGAUCAGCCACACUGGAACUGAGACACGGUCCAGACUCCUACGGGAGGCAGCAGUGGGGAAUUUUGCGCAAUGGGGGAAACCCUGACGCAGCAACGCCGCGUGAGUGAUGAAGGCUUUCGGGUCGUAAAGCUCUGUCAGAGGGGAAGAAAUGAAACGUGCUAAUAUCACGUUUUCUUGACGGUACCCUCAAAGGAAGCACCGGCUAACUCCGUGCCAGCAGCCGCGGUAAUAC
rnacentral:rRNA from 1 species